AUGUCAACUAGUUGUUGGGGAUUUACUUCCUUGGUAACGUAGCUAACGCGUGAAGUUGACCGCCUGGGGAGUACGGCCGCAAGGUUAAAACUCAAAGGAAUUGACGGGGACCCGCACAAGCGGUGGAUGAUGUGGAUUAAUUCGAUGCAACGCGAAAAACCUUACCUACCCUUGACAUGGCAGGAACUUUCCAGAGAUGGAUUGGUGCUCGAAAGAGAACCUGCACACAGGUGCUGCAUGGCUGUCGUCAGCUCGUGUCGUGAGAUGUUGGGUUAAGUCCCGCAACGAGCGCAACCCUUGUCAUUAGUUGCUACGAAAGGGCACUCUAAUGAGACUGCCGGUGACAAACCGGAGGAAGGUGGGGAUGACGUCAAGUCCUCAUGGCCCUUAUGGGUAGGGCUUCACACGUCAUACAAUGGUCGGUACAGAGGGUUGCCAAGCCGCGAGGUGGAGCCAAUCCCAGAAAACCGAUCGUAGUCCGGAUCGCAGUCUGCAACUCGACUGCGUGAAGUCGGAAUCGCUAGUAAUCGCGGAUCAGAAUGCCGCGGUGAAUACGUUCCCGGGUCUUGUACACACCGCCCGUCACACCAUGGGAGUGGGUUCUACCAGAAGUGGCUAGUCUAACCGCAAGGAGGACGGUCACCACGGUAGGAUUCAUGACUGGGGUGAAGUCGUAACAAGGUAACCGAAAAGGG
rnacentral:rRNA from 1 species